rnacentral:rRNA from 1 species
UGGGGAAUAUUGCACAAUGGGCGCAAGCCUGAUGCAGCCAUGCCGCGUGUGUGAAGAAGGCCUUCGGGUUGUAAAGCACUUUCAGCGAGGAGGAAGGUGGUGAGCUUAAUACGCUCAUCAAUUGACGUUACUCGCAGAAGAAGCACCGGCUAACUCCGUGCCAGCAGCCGCGGUAAUACGGAGGGUGCAAGCGUUAAUCGGAAUUACUGGGCGUAAAGCGCACGCAGGCGGUUUGUUAAGUCAGAUGUGAAAUCCCCGGGCUCAACCUGGGAACUGCAUUUGAAACUGGCAAGCUAGAGUCUCGUAGAGGGGGGUAGAAUUCCAGGUGUAGCGGUGAAAUGCGUAGAGAUCUGGAGGAAUACCGGUGGCGAAGGCGGCCCCCCUGGACGAAGACUGACGCUCGGGUGCGAAAGCGUGGGGAGCAAACAGAUUAGAUACCCUGGUAGUCCACGCUGUAAACGAUGUCGAUUUUGGAGGUUGUGCCCUUGAGGCGUGGNUUCCGGAGCUAACGCGUUAAAUCGACCGCCUGGGGAGUACGGCCGCAAGGUUAAAACUCAAAUGAAUUGACGGGGUC